rnacentral:ncRNA from 1 species
AAUAAAUACAAAUAAUUGUUGACUUUAAACAUUUUAUUAUGGUAUAUUAAAUUAGUAGUUAAAAAUAAUAUUAUCGCGGGAUGGAGCAGUUCGG